rnacentral:misc_RNA from 1 species
GUUGAAGAACGUAGCAAAAUGCGAUAAGUAAUGUGAAUUGCAGAAUUCAGUGAAUCAUCGAAUCUUUGAACGCACAUUGCGCCCGCUGGUAUUCCGGCGGGCAUGCCUGUUCGAGCGUCAUUUCAACCCUCAAGCCCCCGGGUUUGGUGUUGGGGAUCGGCUCUGCCCUUCUGGGCGGUGCCGCCCCCGAAAUACAUUGGCGGUCUCGCUGCAGCCUCCAUUGCGUAGUAGCUAACACCUCGCAACUGGAACGCGGCGCGGCCAUGCCGUAAAACCCCAACUUCUGAAUGUUGACCUCGGAUCAGGUAGGAAUACCCGCUGAACUUAAGCAUAUCAAUAAGCGAGA